GGAAACUAGAUGAGGCCUCUCCAAAGAGAAACAGAAAAUCACAUCAGACUUAAAAAUCAGUGCAAAUUUAUAUGGUGACUGCUGAAGGCCCUUGGAGGGGAUCCCCUCUGAAGCAGCUGGGAGCUCAGAAGCUCUCUCCAUCCCUGAGGAGUGGGUUAGCCACAAGAGCAAGAAGUGAUGGACUGGAGUCCACCCAGCGCCUGAGGCAUGAGCAGAAUCCACACCCAUUAGACCCAGAGCCUCAGAGUGGGAGGCUGCACUGCUGGGGAGAUCCAAGAAGAAUCAAUACUUUGGCCCCUGGCGACAUGUACACGGUGUAAUGACAGGUAAUGAACCUGAGGCUCGUCUAUCCUUUAUGAAUGAUAUGGCAGGUAGGCGAAUAUAUCAGCUUGCAGUAAUCAUAAAAUGUCAACCUGUGGGAAGAUAACUAUGCAAACAAAGCACACUAACU
rnacentral:lncRNA from 1 species